AUGCAAGUUCCUGUCCUUGAGUGAAAAGGGACUGGGGCUUCGCCAGCUACAACUGCCCUGCAAGAGAGUAACAGCUUGCCAAUGACUCUAUAUUGAGAAAACCAGAGACAUGUAUUGGAGAGAAGAAAGAUGUAUUCAAAAUUGUGCUACCCAAGUGUGGUUGCCAAACUUUGAAUUUCACAAGCGAGAUGAACACCACAAAAGCAAGAAACUGCAUCUCUUGGACCACCUAGCGUAUUGUGAGGAGGACUUGAUAUGCUGAAGUUGCAUCCAGUGCUACCAAUGCAAAGAGCCCAUGUGACAGCCAAAUGGACUGAUGUCAUCUCAGCCCAGAUGAAAGCAAUCUGCCAGCAAUGACAGCUCUGCCAGGACUCACCAACCCCCCUCCCCCCACCCCCAGUGACAGCUAUAGAGAGCACUAUGUUUGACAUGG